UGGGGAAUCUUGCACAAUGGGCGAAAGCCUGAUGCAGCGACGCCGCGUGCGCGAUGAAGUCCUUCGGGAUGUAAAGCGCUUUCGACGGGAACGAUAAUGACGGUACCCGGAGAAGAAGCUGCGGCUAACUACGUGCCAGCAGCCGCGGUAAUACGUAGGCAGCAAACGUUGUUCGGAGUUACUGGGCGUAAAGAGUGCGUAGGCGGCUUGGUAAGUUCGGUGUGAAAUCUUCCGGCUUAACUGGAAGGGUGCGCCGAAAACUGCCGAGCUGGAGUGCCGGAGAGGAAAGCGGAAUUCCUGGUGUAGCGGUGAAAUGCGUAGAUAUCAGGAGGAACACCGGUGGUGUAGACGGCUUUCUGGACGGCCACUGACGCUGAGGCACGAAAGCGUGGGGAGCAAACAGG
rnacentral:rRNA from 1 species